CACAAGUUUCCCCUUUGCCCGAGAGCUUCGUUCACUCCAAUGGUUUCCCAACCUCCAGGGAUGCCGUGCGGUGACUCAAUAGAAACUGGGCUCACCGAAAAGGCAGCAAGGGUGAUACCUUCUCUCGUUCUUCCAUGCUUGACCACGGCCAAUCGCUGGCUUUCCUCUUGGACGGCUGUUUGGUAGAUCCGGCCUAGUGAUGACAUCGGAUUCAUCGCCAAGAUCUCCAAUCGAAAGGUGGCCUCGAGUUCGUACAUCUCACGAAUGUUUGCUCAGAUUGUCCUUGAGUCCUCAGUCAGUGAAAGCCUAGCUGCAACAUCUAGAGCGAGACACUUGCCGAUCCAGGUACGCAUUAAUUGAUUGCAUUUUCGUUAGUGAUGUUGGAGUCGUUUGUCGGUCAGAAAAGGGAUGGCUCCAUUGUUGUUAGUUAAAUAAAAUCUAUUGAACCAUCUUAAUCCUCGUUUGAGAAAUUAAAGAGGUGAAAAAGAAGCUUAUUUCAUCAAGAUGAUGAAAGAAGUUUCUCUAAGCAAUAUCACAUGCAAAUAUACCCAUAAUCUAUUUCUUUUCAAACUCAAUUAACCAUGAUCAUUGAUGGUAUCCCAAAUGGGCCAAAAAGCUGCAAAUAUAUCCAUCGUCUAAUGAUUUCUUUUGAAGUUUACAAGGCAAUGGUCAGAAGGCCUUGGUCCUGGUAGGUACACCAUUGGGCUAUUUGGGUUGAGCCUUUCCAUACUGCACCCAAAAAAAAAAAAAUCAUUAUAAUAAAAACAAUAUAUCAUAAAUUCAUUCACAUUUUAAUUUUAUGCUCUAAGUUUUGGUAUUUAGGGGGGGUAAAAGCAGGCUUAAAGAAUAAGAACAACUCACUCGUAGUGAAGUACAAAAUGAUGGAGAAAAUGGACAUUUCAAGCUUUGCCAAGUCCAUUCCAGGGCACAAUUUGCUUCCCCCUCCAAAUGGUAGGAAAGUUCCUGCUUUUGCCUUGACAGUUUGCUACCAACACAUAAGCCACAACUAAAUGUAUAUAAGAUAUAAGUAUAUGUAUAUGCACGUGCAUAAGCGCAAGCGAGCAGUGUGCUCGCACAUAGGGAAAGAUAGACUAAGGAAAAAUUGUCCAAUUAUUCCUAAAUUUACGGCAUAGAUGUCAAUUUUGUCUUAAAUAUUUAAAUUUUGCCAUUUUAAUCCUAAAUCUUUCCCCAAAAUUUCAAUGAAAUCCUUCCAGCCAAUUUUUGUUGGCAACCACUACCAUGAUCGUAUGUCAUGUAGGACAGACGUUGGUGACUGGACCACCACGUCAACGACUUCUAGCAAAAAUUGGCCGAAAUGACUACGUUGGAAUUUUGAGCAAGGGUUUAGACUAAAUUGGUAAAAUUAGAAAGUUUAGGAUUGAAUGCACAUUUGUACAAUAGGUUCAGGACUGAUUGAGUAAUUUUUCUGAUGGAUUACUUACUUCCCAUCUCGAGGGGUUGAAUUCUUCUGGUUUCGAGUAGUUCUCAGGAUCGACAUGAAUCACCCUUAAAUAAACUACUACUCUCCAACCUCUUGGUACAAGAUAGCCUGUAAUUGACACAUGAAGGUCAUGCCUAUCUCUCGAACGAGUUCCUCUAAUCAAUACCAACGAAGAGAUUCAUUUUUCAAAAUCCAUUUUACCAACCAUCGAUGUCCACAUCAGCUGUUGCCUCUCGGAACACUGCGAAAGAGAGAUUGCCUCUUCGUAGCGUUUCAUCAACCACCUAGGUCAUAGCAUAGAGUGAGCGCUUCAUAAGUAAGCUCGUUAUACAGAAAGUCCAAAAUGUGAUCUGUGUACCGAUUCGAAGUAAUAUGCUUUUCUGUCUAUGUCAAAAUCUAAAGUUAAAGUAGUGCUUUUGGUCAUAUUUCUUGAAAUCUUUUUUUAAUCCUCUGUAAGAAUAUUUCCUUUUGAUUGGCGGUUACAACCACAGAUAAUCAUCAUCAUUUAUAUUUAAUCAACUUUCCAUAUGAGUUUAUAAAACGUUAGUCACCAGUCCAAAACAGAAGUUCUUUUUUAGCUUUCUCGUAAAAGUUAAUAUCAUCUAAAUAAAAAAAAAAAAAAAAAAAAAUAAAAACAUUAUGUGCUGGAAUUUUGCUAUGUGACAACAUUUAUAUUUUGUGAAUGUUACAAGUGCUCUAAUUAAAAAAGUUUAAAAAAACGCAUGCGCUGCAAGAUUUAAAUAAAAGAGAAAAGUAAAUGUCAUUUUAAACAGGCGUCACAAAUUUUAGAUUCAUUAAAAGAUCAAGUAAAAAGAAAAGGAGAUAGAGAGAUUGUGUGAUAUUGUAAACAAAGAUGAUUACGUACCAUGGACAGAUAAUUCAUUUGUCUUAUCUCCUUGAGAGUCAGUCCUUUCUGUGUAGGUGGUCUCCUCCUAAUAAUCUCCUCUUGCUCUUUCUGAUAGAUGGAGUAGAAUUCACUUCGCUAAUACACUUCGACAGUCAUGACUAAUAAAACUCUUGUUUCAUUCAAGCCACUAUGAAGGAAUAAGUUGCUUAAUUCGGAUUGCUUCCCCCGUCAUCUUUAAGAUCCAUAAUGAGAAUGUGAAUAGUCAAUAUAAUAGGUCAACCGAGGUUUGUCACAAUGGGCACAAAUUUCGUAAUUCAAGCACUUCCCAGAUUUAAAGUCGGGACCAAAAUGAUCAUUGUAAUAGACCCCCAAAAAGAGAGAUCUUUGCGUGACGUGAUUAGCAUUUAUAAAUGUUGUUGAGCAUAGAUGAGCCAUCUAAUUAUCUUUGAAGGGUAAAUCAGACAUUAUCAUAUGAAAUGGCCUCGCUGUCCAAGGAAAUCUGAGUAAGCUUUAUUGAAAUGUCCCUGCAAGAAGUGAUGUUGUCUAACCUUCAGUUUUUGGAGAAUCUCAGGAUGUUCUUUGAGGAAGAUGGCAGCCCACAUUGUGGCAUGAGCUGAGGUUUCAUGGCCAGCAAGCAAGAACAUGAGAGAAACGUCAAUGAUGGUCUCCUCAUCCAAUUUCUCACCAUUUUCAUCUUCCACUUCCAUUAAUAAAUCCAACACAUCCUUUUCCUCAAUUGCCCGCUCUUUCUUAUUUUUCACCCUCCUCCUCUCAUCCAAAUUAGCUCGAAGGAUCUUAACCAAUUCUCUUCUUGCCUAAGACAACAUUUUUGUGACUUUAUACUGUAAAGCAACUUCAUCAAUUCAAAUUACAUUACAAAAAGGUUGACGUUGGAAAUUCUA